rfam:Nadsonia fulvescens var. elongata DSM 6958 unplaced genomic scaffold NADFTscaffold_3, whole genome shotgun sequence.
GCCUAGCUAGCUCAAUCGGUAGAGCGUGUGACUCUUACGGUCUAAUAUUUAGAAUCAUUGUCAUCACAAGGUUGGGGGUUCGACCCCCCCGUUGGGCU